rnacentral:sRNA from 1 species
UGGUCCCACUGAAAAUCACGCCAAGAAAUGGACUGGGACCAAACCAAACCAAACCAAACAUGAAAUUCAUGGUCCCACCGGCCAGCCUAGUCAGAUUAGCUUUUGACAAGGUUUGAUUGAUGAGAACUUAUCAAUAGAUCACACAACACAAUCAGAACAGCAGAAGACACAGUGAUCAGAUGCUAUAUCACAGAAUAAAAGGGCUAGACAUUUGAUAGAAGAGGAUAGAUGUGUAGAAUGAUUGAAGCAGAGCAAGAGAGGUUGAGUGGAGGGGGUAUGAGAGAGUGAAUGAGAGGGGAUAGUUGUGAAUGUGGUGUUGUUAGUGAUGGACUGGUGUUGUUGUGAUAGGGACUCUUGUGCACGCGAAGUGAGCACCUUACCUAUU